CCACCCCCCUCCAGAACACCCACCCCCGGGGCCGGCGUCUGAGGAGGGGGGCCGCACCACCCCCAAAAAAUGUUCUUGGAAAAAUUUAAGGACUUUUUCCCCCUUCUCUCUUUCCUCCCAAGAGAAAAAGAAAGGGAGAUCGUUUUUUUAAAAAAAAAGAAAAAAUUAUAUAUAUAUGUAUAUAAAAGUUUUCGACUUCUCUCUACCCCCCUCGGUUGCUUUAAAUAUAUUUAAAUUCUGAGGGGGGCGCUCAGAAAUAUUUCUCAGAGCUGAGGCACUAAGAUGGCCGCCUUGAAAUUAUUUUUAAAACAACCCCCCCUUCAGCACCGCCACCCCCUCUAUAAAGAAAGAGAGAGGGGGGUAAAAUCCCCUUUUAAAACAAAAUGGCUGGCUUAAUAUUUCAUUUUUCAUACAACCCCCUUCUCCCUGUUACAUCCCAUCUCCAAGCUUCUACUCAAAACCCCACAAAUUUCUCCCUUUUUUCAUAACUGAUUAGUGCACAGAUUAAUACAUUUUCCUUGUGUAUUGAGAGAGAGAGAGAGAGAGAGUGUGUGUGUGUAUGUGUGUGUGUGUGUGUUGGGGGGCAUGAAGGAUUUCUGCAUAAAACAAAAAUGGCUGCUGUGACUUAACUCCCCCCUUAUAAAAAUAUUUGGGGGGGCAUUAAUCAGUACUCAUGCUCAGUCUGACAUCAGCAUAAAUUGUUAAAGGUUAACUAGUUAGAUACUAGUCCAACUAGAUUGAAUUUUUCUUUUCUUUACUAGUCUUCCUCCCCCCACCUUCCUUCUCUAAAGAAAAGCUUUUUUUUUUUUUCUGAAUACUUCAGAAGGGAGUGGUUUGAUGUGAAGGUUUUUUUUUCCUUCAGGCAUUGAAAAGGAAAAAGAUGAAAUAUAUGUUUAUAUAUAACUCUCUACAUACCUCAUUGAAGUCAAAAUGCGUUUAAUUGUAGAACACCUCUUCCUCCAUGACCUUCGACACUGAUAAAGUAGAAGAAACUGAGGCACGGGGAGAGGAAGGCAGCUGAGGAGAGGAACGAGGUAGGGCGAACACUCAGGCCUUUUCACUGAACCGGCUGACCCGUCCUUUCCAACUGGAUACCAGUGUUUAUCUUAAAGUUGUAGCAGGGAUCAGAUGAGCAGUUGACAGGGAGUCCAGGAGUAAGUUUUUCCUACAGAGAUUUGACAGAGCUGGCUCAACUGGAAUAAAACUUGCUGAGAAGCCAG